GAUGAACGCUGGCGGUAUGCUUUACACAUGCAAGUCGUACGAGAAUUUUAAAUUCUAGUGGCGGACGGGUGAGUAACACGUAAGAAUUUACCUUUAGGAGGGGGACAACAACCGGAAACGGUUGCUAAUACCCCAUAUGCUUUCGAGUGAAAUGGAGUUUUCCGCCUAAAGAGAAGCUUGCGGCUGAUUAGCUUGUUGGUAAGGUAAUGGCUUACCAAGGCGACGAUCAGUAUCUGGUUUGAGAGGACGACCAGGCACACUGGAACUGAGACACGGUCCAG
rnacentral:rRNA from 1 species